rnacentral:rRNA from 1 species
AGCUCGUGUCGUGAGAUGUGGUUAGUCCGCAACGAGCGCAACCCCUACUCUCUAGUUGCCAGCGAUUCGGUCGGGGACGUCUAGAGAUACUGCCCCGGUUAACGGGGAGGAAGGUGGGGAUGACGUCAAGUCCUCAUGGCCCUUAUGCCCAGGGCUACACACGUGCUACAAUGGGCGGUACAAAGGGUAGCGAUGCCGCGAGGUGAAGCCAAUCCCAAAAAGCCGUCCACAGUUCGGAUUGGAGUCUGCAACUCGACUCCAUGAAGCCGGAAUCGCUAGUAAUCGUGGAUCAGCAUGCCACGGUGAAUACGUUCCCGGGCCUU